UAAUGUCUGGGAAACUGCCUGAUGGAGGGGGAUAACUACUGGAAACGGUGGCUAAUACCGCAUAACGUCGCAAGACCAAAGUGGGGGACCUUCGGGCCUCACGCCAUCGGAUGUGCCCAGAUGGGAUUAGCUAGUAGGUGGGGUAAUGGCUCACCUAGGCGACGAUCCCUAGCUGGUCUGAGAGGAUGACCAGCCACACUGGAACUGAGACACGGUCCAGACUCCUACGGGAGGCAGCAGUGGGGAAUAUUGCACAAUGGGCGCAAGCCUGAUGCAGCCAUGCCGCGUGUGUGAAGAAGGCCUUCGGGUUGUAAAGCACUUUCAGCGAGGAGGAAGGCAUCAUACUUAAUACGUGUGGUGAUUGACGUUACUCGCAGAAGAAGCACCGGCUAACUCCGUGCCAGCAGCCGCGGUAAUACGGAGGGUGCAAGCGUUAAUCGGAAUUACUGGGCGUAAAGCGCACGCAGGCGGUUUGUUAAGUCAGAUGUGAAAUCCCCGCGCUUAACGUGGGAACUGCAUUUGAAACUGGCAAGCUAGAGUCUUGUAGAGGGGGGUAGAAUUCCAGGUGUAGCGGUGAAAUGCGUAGAGAUCUGGAGGAAUACCGGUGGCGAAGGCGGGCCCCUGGACAAAGACUGACGCUCAGGUGCGAAAGCGUGGGGAGCAAACAGGAUU
rnacentral:rRNA from 1 species